rnacentral:rRNA from 1 species
UGGGGAAUAUUGGACAAUGGGCGCAAGCCUGAUCCAGCAAUGCCGCGUGUGUGAAGAAGGCCUUCGGGUUGUAAAGCACUUUUAUCAGGAACGAAAAGCGUUGGAUUAAUACUCUGACGUGCUGACGGUACCUGAGGAAUAAGCACCGGCUAACUUCGUGCCAGCAGCCGCGGUAAUACGAAGGGUGCAAGCGUUAAUCGGAAUUACUGGGCGUAAAGCGUGCGUAGAUGGUUCGCUAAGUCGGAUGUGAAAGCCCCGGGCUCAACCUGGGAACUGCAUCCGAUACUGGCGGACUAGAGUGUGAUAGAGGAUGGCGGAAUUCCCGGUGUAGCGGUGAAAUGCGUAGAGAUCGGGAGGAACAUCCGUGGCGAAGGCGGCCAUCUGGAUCAACACUGACGUUGAGGCACGAAAGCGUGGGGAGCAAACA